GCCGCAAACACCAUCUCCACUUCUCUCUUUCUCGUCUUCUCACUCUUCUCUACUCUCUAAUAACACGAAUGGCUGCCAUGGUCUGAACCAAAGUCUCCAUGGUUGCCACUCACGACGCAACUUACUCCAAAAGGCCUCCAUGGUCGAAGCUCAGUCGUUACUCAAAGAUGGCCACUCCUAUCCUUCCUCAUCAUCUCGCACGAUCAUCACUCACCGGAGUAUUCUAGGGCGGUCUUCGGAUGACUUAAGUAAACUUGAAUCGAUCCCCCUUUACUCUCUUUCGAAUGGUUGUUGCUUAAGGGAACCCAAUCCUCACUAACACUCGGUCAACCAUCACAUAACAGCUACAAUGCGAAUUAAAAAAAAACUGAGCAAGGUGAUUGAACUAACUCAUAAUCUCUAUAUUAUUACUUGCUUAGAAAUAAAAACAUUUAAAGGAUACUGGAAAUUGAAAGAAAGGUGAAAAGUAC